UCCUACGGGGGGCAGCAGUGAGGAAUAUUGGUCAAUGGGCUUACGCCUGAACCAGCCAAGUCGCGUGAGGGAAGACUGCCCUAUGGGUUGUAAACCUCUUUUGUCAGGGAGCAACGCCGGCUACGUGUAGCCGGACUGAGAGUACCUGAAGAAAAAGCAUCGGCUAACUCCGUGCCAGCAGCCGCGGUAAUACGGAGGAUGCGAGCGUUAUCCGGAUUUAUUGGGUUUAAAGGGUGCGUAGGCGGAAUGCCAAGUCAGCGGUAAAAUCGCGGGGCUCAACCCCGCUCCGCCGUUGAAACUGGCGU
rnacentral:rRNA from 1 species